rnacentral:rRNA from 1 species
UACGUAGGUGGCAAGCGUUGUCCGGAUUUACUGGGCGUAAAGGAUGCGUAGGCGGACAUUUUAAGUCAGAUGUGAAAUACCCGAGCUUAACUUGGGUGCUGCAUUUGAAACUGGGUGUCUAGAGUGCAGGAGAGGUAAGUGGAAUUCCUAGUGUAGCGGUGAAAUGCGUAGAGAUUAGGAAGAACACCAGUGGCGAAGGCGACUUACUGGACUGUAACUGACGCUGAGGCAUGAAAAGCGUGGGGAGCAAACAGG